UUUCCGUAGGUGAACCUGCGGAAGGAUCAUUCAUAAUAAGUGUUUUAUGGCACUUUUUAAAUCCAUAUCCACCUUGUGUGCAAUGUCAGUCGAUCUUCUUCAUGGAGAUCGACCAAACAUCAACCUUUAUUUUUUAACUCUUUGUCUGAAAAAUAUUAUGAAUAAACAAUUCAAAAUACAACUUUCAACAACGGAUCUCUUGGCUCUCGCAUCGAUGAAGAACGCAGCGAAAUGCGAUACGUAAUGUGAAUUGCAGAAUUCAGUGAAUCAUCGAAUCUUUGAACGCAUAUUGCGCUCUUUGGUAUUCCGAAGAGCAUGCUUGUUUGAGUAUCAGUAAACACCUCAAAGCUUUUGGAUUUUUUAAUCGAAAAGCUUUGGACUUGAGCAAUCCCAACACCAAUCUUUUUGAGAUCGGUGGCGGGUUGCUUGAAAUGCAGGUGCAGCUGGACAUUCUCCUGAGCUAAAAGCAUAUUCAUUUAGUCCCGUCAAACGGAUUAUUACUUUUGCUGCAGCUAACAUAAAGGGAGUUUGACCGUAUUGGCUGACUGAUGCAGGAUUUCACAAGGGUCGGCAACGAUUCUUGUUAAACUCGAUCUCAAAUCAAGUAAGACUACCCGCUGAACUUAAGCAUAUCAAUAAGCGGAGG
rnacentral:rRNA from 1 species